CACAAAAAGAGACCAAGAGGGAGCGCGGAGACCUGCAGGGGCGGAAUAAGAGUUCUACUAAGAGGCUAAAGGAAGCCGAGCUACCGCAGGCAGUAGCGAUUUCUGGGAGGCCAGGGAAGGAAGGAGGUCCGCGGCGGUAAACAGCACCUCUCCCCGAGUUCGAAACUCCUAGACGACCAUCCACGCCCGCCGCCCGGGUGGGGGAGGGGGUACAUCUUUCCCCCUCAACCUCCCACUACAGUUCUUUAUCCACUCUGCGGGAACCACCACAGCCGCGGCCGCCAUCUUCCUCUCACUAGUAGCAGAAGCCCGGAUGUGUAGCACGCGAGCGAAGGGUCAAAGGGGAGCACCGCCCACGAGGAAUGCCGGGAGCUGAGAGUUCGUUUUUCGAUUUCCCGCCCCACUUUCCUCUCCACCCAGCGGAAACCCGAGGCAAGGCAGCCAACGACGUGGAGACUCGCGGGCCCCUUUGCGAGGUUACUACACGGGUUGCGCCCUCCGAAGUCUUCGGCCUUACUUCCCAUUAGAACAGAGAAAUGCCAUCCACAGGCCAACAAGUAGACUUCAUCUUCUUCCGUAAUAUCUACCCCUAACCACUAAUACAAACACGCAUUUUUCAAGCACCUAAUAUGUGCUAGACACUGGGAAUAGAGAAAUAAUAGUCUUUGGGAAAGCCAUAAAUAUAAGCAAAUAAAUUACAUUACGCCCUGCUGACUGCUGAGAUAAAAGAAAAUAAUCGGGUCCCUCUCCUUCUCCCUCUCCCUCUCCCGUCUCCCUCUCCCGUCUCCCUCUCCCCACGGUCUCCCUCUCCCUCUCUUUCCACAGUCUCCCUCUGAUGCCGAGCCAAAGCUGGACUGUACUGCCAUCUCGGCUCACUGCAACCUCCCUGCCUGAUUCUCCUGCCUCAGCCUGCCGAGUGCCUGCGAUUGCAGGUGCGCGCCGCCACGCCUGACUGUUUUUCGUAUUUUUUUGGUGGAGACGGGGUUUCGCUGUGUUGGCCGGGCUGGUCUCCAGCUCCUAACCGCGAGUGAUCCGCCAGCCUCGGCCUCCCGAGGUGCCGGGAUUGCAGACGGAGUCUCGUUCACUCAGUGCUCAAUGGUGCCCAGGCUGGGGUGCAGUGGCGUGAUCUCGGCUCGCUGCAACCUCCACCUCCCAGCCGCCUGCCUUGGCCUCCCAAAGUGCCGAGAUUGCAGCCUUUGCCCGGCCGCCACCCCGUCUGGGAAGUGAGGAGCCUCUCUGCCUGGCCGCCCAUCGUCUGGGAUGUGAGGAGCCCCUCUGCCUGGCUGCCCAGUCUGGAAAGUGAGGAGCGUCUCUGCCCGGCCGCCAUCCUGUCUAGGAAGUGAGGAGCGUCUCUGCCCGGCUGCCCAUCGUCUGGGAUGAAGUGAGGAGCGUCUCUGCCUGGCCGCCCAUCGUCUGAGAUGUGGGGAGUGCCUCUGCCCCGCCGCCCCGUCUGGGAUGUGAGGAGCGCCUCUGCCCGGCCGCGACCCCGUCUGGGAGGUGAAGAGCGUCUCUGCCCGGCCGCCCCGUCUGAGAAGUGAGGAGACCCUCCGCCCGGCAGCCGCCCCGUCUGAGAGGUGAAGAGCGUCUCCGCCCGGCCGGCCGCCCCGUCCGGGAGGGAGGUGGGGGGGUCGGCCCCCCGCCCGGCCGGCCGCCCCGUCCGGGAGGUGACGGGCGCCUCUGCCCGGCCGCCGCUACUGGGAAGUGAGGAGCCCCUCUGCCCGGCCACCACCCGGUCUGGGAGGUGUACCCAACAGCUCAUUGAG
rnacentral:lncRNA from 10 species